CAAAGGAAUUGACGGGACCGCACAAGCGGUGGAUGAUGUGGAUUAAUUCGAUGCAACGCGAAAACCUUACCUACCCUUGACAUGUCCGGAAUCCCGAAGAGAUUUGGGAGUGCUCGCAAGAGAGCCGGAACACAGGUGCUGCAUGGCUGUCGUCAGCUCGUGUCGUGAGAUGUUGGGUUAAGUCCCGCAACGAGCGCAACCCUUGCCAUUAGUUGCUACGAAAGGGCACUCUAAUGGGACUGCCGGUGACAAACCGGAGGAAGGUGGGGAUGACGUCAAGUCCUCAUGGCCCUUAUGGGUAGGGCUUCACACGUCAUACAAUGGUCGGUACAGAGGGUUGCCAACCCGCGAGGGGGAGCUAAUCCCACAAAGCCGAUCGUAGUCCGGAUCGCAGUCUGCAACUCGACUGCGUGAAGUCGGAAUCGCUAGUAAUCGUGGAUCAGCAUGUCACGGUGAAUACGUUCCCGGGUCUU
rnacentral:rRNA from 1 species